rnacentral:ncRNA from 1 species
CUUAAGCGUUAAGAGCUCUGAAGUUGCCUGGUUAGAAUCUUGAAAAGAGUUCUGCCUGCGAGUUCAUCCACACUGAUUCAGUGCAAUUAGCAGAGAAAGGGGUGGGAUUGCGACAAUAAGAUGUUCUCGACGGAUGGUUCUUGCUAGAAUGGACGAGGUCAUGCUGUCUUAUAGGAGUUCCUUUUAUGGCCACGAUUCACCUUGAUCUAGUGAUAGCUGACUAUUCAAAUAAUAAUCAGCAAAAUAUGUAAACAAAUUUAAGAACUUCUGCAAUACCUGUAGUUUCGACCGGUGUGGCGUAUACGAUUCACGCAGAAUUAGGGAUUCUUUAUCCAACGCAGCUAGUGGAACGGCAUUCGUUUCUUUUCUUCCAAAUUUUGAAGCAGAUACAAAACUCUUCGUGACGGUGUCCUCUUGCAUUUACAUAUUUAUUUAAGCUGGUCGUGUAGGAAACGCAGCGGAGACUCGUCUCUCAGAUUGAACUGCCCUCAGUCUAAAUAUUAUGAAUACAGUAUUGUUACAGAUAUAACUUACCUGUAUAUGUAGUUAUUUUUGUGUUACGUAUUUGUUGUUAUGCUGUACCAUCUACCCUGAAUUCCCUGUCAGACGAAGAAUUUGAUUUGGCGGCCAUCUGAAAGUUUAAAGCAGGUAUCCUAAAAAGAACUGAGUGAGGUCAGAAGCUUCACAAAGAAUAACAGUGCAAAAGCUCCACUAGUUUUGCCUUUCAGUACGAAUACAGACGGUCAAAGAGAAGCCUUCAAUUCUUUUGACUUUGUUGAUUUCAAAUUAGAGGUAUCAGAAAGGUUACCUUAGGGAUAAUUGUCUUGGGGCAAUCAAGUGUCGAAUAUGAUGUUGCUUUUUGAUCCCUUCGGUAAGUUUAUUGAGAU